GCAGGCACUGAAAUCGAUGUGGUCUAUCUAGAUCCCAUGUAUCCACACCGUGAGAAAUCUGCCUUAGUGAAAAAAGA
rnacentral:tRNA from 1 species